rnacentral:tRNA from 1 species
AAAUAAGAAACAAAGACUUGUAUUUAGUUUCGACCUAAAAUUUUGAUGACAGCAUCCUUAUUUU